CGAAUCACAUUGAAACACCAGUUCCCAUAUGAUCACCGAAGUUAAGCAAUGUUGAGACUGGACAUUACCAGAUGAGUGACCUCUUGGAAAUAUCAGG